GGUCAAGUUAGUAAGGGCAUAUGGUGAAUGCCUUGGCACUAGGAGCCGAUGAAGGACGCGAUAAGCUGCGAAAAGCUUCGGGGAGCCGCAAAUAGGCUUUGAUCCGGAGAUAUCCGAAUGGGGAAACCCACCUGUGGUAAACCGCAGGUACUGCAUAGUGAAUACAUAGCUAUGUGGAGGUAGACCGGGGGAACUGAAACAUCUAAGUACCCCGAGGAAGAGAAAGAAAAAUCGAUUUUCUGAGUAGCGGCGAGCGAAAGGGAAAGAGCCCAAACCGCAGAGGGCAACUUCUGCGGGGUUG
rnacentral:ncRNA from 1 species